ACGCUGGCGGCAGGCCUAACACAUGCAAGUCGAGCGGUAGAGAGGAGCUUGCUUCUCUUGAGAGCGGCGGACGGGUGAGUAAUGCCUAGGAAUCUGCCUGGUAGUGGGGGAUAACGUUCGGAAACGGACGCUAAUACCGCAUACGUCCUACGGGAGAAAGCGGGGGACCUUCGGGCCUUGCGCUAUCAGAUGAGCCUAGGUCGGAUUAGCUAGUUGGUGGGGUAAUGGCUCACCAAGGCGACGAUCCGUAACUGGUCUGAGAGGAUGAUCAGUCACACUGGAACUGAGACACGGUCCAGACUCCUACGGGAGGCAGCAGUGGGGAAUAUUGGACAAUGGGCGAAAGCCUGAUCCAGCCAUGCCGCGUGUGUGAAGAAGGUCUUCGGAUUGUAAAGCACUUUAAGUUGGGAGGAAGGGUUGUAGAUUAAUACUCUGCAAUUUUGACGUUACCGACAGAAUAAGCACCGGCUAACUCUGUGCCAGCAGCCGCGGUAAUACAGAGGGUGCAAGCGUUAAUCGGAAUUACUGGGCGUAAAGCGCGCGUAGGUGGUUAGUUAAGUUGGAUGUGAAAUCUCCGGGCUCAACCUGGGAACUGCAUUCAAAACUGACUGACUAGAGUAUGGUAGAGGGUGGUGGAAUUUCCUGUGUAGCGGUGAAAUGCGUAGAUAUAGGAAGGAACACCAGUGGCGAAGGCGACCACCUGGACUGAUACUGACACUGAGGUGCGAAAGCGUGGGGAGCAAACAGGAUUA
rnacentral:rRNA from 1 species